GUGUGGAUUCAUCUCACAGAGUUAAACCUUUCUUUUGAUCCAGCAGGUUGGAAACACUCUUUUUUGUGAAUCUGUGAAGUAACAUUUUGGAGCCCAUUGAGGCCUAUGUGGAAAAACCGAAUAUCCCCAGGUAAAAACAAGAAAGCAGCUACCUGUGAAACUUCUGUGUGAUGGGUGGAUUCAUCUCACAGAGUUAAAUGAUUCUUUUGAUUCAGCAGGUUGGAAACACUCUUUCUAGAGAAUCUGCAAAGGAACUUUUGGGAACCCGCUGAGGUCUAUUGAGAAAAUUUAAUAUAUCCAGAUAAAAACUAGAAAGAAGCUAUCUCUGAAACUGCUUUGUGAUGUCUGGUUUUGUCUCUCAGAAUGAAACCUUACCUUUGAUUCAGCAGAUUGGACGCUCUCCUUUUGGAAAAUCUGUGAAGGAACAUUUGGUAGCCCAUUUGGUAGCCCUAUGGGGAAAAGCUGUAUAUUGUCAUUCUUAAACUAGAAUGAAUCUAUCUGUAAAACUGCUUUGUCAUGUGUGGAUUCAUCUCACAGAGUUAAAACUGUCUAUUGAUUCAGCAAUUUUGAAGUACUCUCUUUGGAGAAUCUACAAAGGGCAUAUGGGGGCCAAUUGAGGCCUAUGAAUCAAAUUGAAUAUCCCCAGAUCAAAACUAGAAAGAAACUCUUUGAAAAAGCUUUGUGAUGUGUGGAUUCAUCUCACUGUGUUAAACCUUUCUUUUGAUUCAGUGGGUUGGAAAUCUAUUUGGGGAGAAUCUGUGAAGGGAAAUUUUGUAGUGUAUUGAGUCCUGUUUGAAAAAAUGGAAUAUCCCUUGAUAAAAACUAGAAAGAAGCUAUCUGUGAAACUGUUUUGUGAUGUGUGGAUUCUUCACACAGAAAUAAACCAUCCUUUUGACUCAUCAUGUUGGAAACACUCUUUUUGGAGAAUAUGCAACUGGACAUUUGGGAGCCCAUUGAAGCCUAAGGGGGAAAACUGAAUAUUCCCGGAUAAAAACUAGAAAGAAGUUAUCUGUGAAACUGCUUUGUGCUGUGUGGAUUCAUCAUCAAGAUUUAAAACUUUCUUUUGAUUCAGCAGGUUGGAAACACUCCUUUUGGAGAAUAGGUGAAGGUAUAUUUGGAAGCCCAUUGAGGCCUAAGAGGAAAAACAGAAUAUCCCCAGAUAAAAAGUACAAAGAAUAUAUCUGUGAAACUGCUUUGUGAUGAGUGGAUUCAUCUCACACAGGUAAACCUUUCUAUUGAUUCAACAGGUUGGAAACACUGUUUUUGUACAAUCUGUGAGGGGACAUUUGGGAGCCCAUUGAGGCCGGUUGAGAAAAAAUGAAUAUCCCCAGAUAAAAACUAGAAAGAAGCUAUCUGUGAAACUCCUUUGUAGUGUGUGGAUUCAUCUCAUAGAGGUAUAUCUUUCUUUUGAUAAAGCAGGUUGGAAACAUUUUAUUUGGAGAAGCUGUGAAGGGACAUUUGAAAGCCCAUUGAUGCCAAUGGGGGAAAACUGAAUAUCCCCAGAUAAAAACUAUAAAGAAGCUAUCUGUGAAUCUGCUUUUUGAUAUUUGGAUUAAUCUCACAGAGUUAAACCUUUUUUUUUAAUUCAGCAGGUUGGAAACAUCCUUAUUGAAAAUCUGUAGAGGGACGUUUCAGAGUCCAUUGAGGCCUAUGGGGAAAAACUGAAUAUUCCCAGAUAAAGACUAGAAAGAAGCUAUCUGUGAAAUUGCUUUGUGAUGUGUGGUCUCAUCACAAAGAGCUAAACCUUUCUUUUGAUUCAGCAGGUUGGGAAACACUUUUUUUAUAGAAUUUGCAAUUGGCCAUUUUUGAGCUCAUUGAGGCCUACGAGGAAAAAGAGAAUAUCCCCAGAUAAAAACUAGAAAGAAGCUAUCUGUGAAACUCCUUUCUGAUGUGUGAAUUCAUCUCACAGAGUUAAACUUUCCUUCUGAUUCGUUAGGUUGGAAAAGCUUUUUUUUGGAGAAUCUGUGAAGGGACAUUUCAGAAUCCAUUGAGGCUGAUGAGGAAAAACAGAAUAUCCACAGAUAAAAACUAGAAAGAAGCUGUCUGGAAAACUGCUUUGUGAUGUGUGGAUUCAUGUCAAGUGUGAAAGUUUUUUUUUUUUUUUUUUUUUAAUUCAGCAGGUUGGAAACUCUAUCUUUGGAGAUUCUGCAAAUGGACCUUUUAGAGCCCAUUGAAGCCUACUGGGAAAAAUCGAGUAUCCCCAGAUAAAAACUAGAGAGAAUCUAUCUGUGAAACUGCUUUGUGAUGUAUGGAUUCAUCUCACAGAGUUAAACCUUUCUUUUGAUUCAGCAGGUUGGAAAUGCUGUUUUUGGAGAAUCUGCUAAGGGACAUUUAGGAGCCCAUUGAGUCCUAUGUGAAAAAAACAAAUAUCCUCAGAUAAAUACUAGAAAGAAGAUAUUUGUGAAACUGCUUUGUGAUGUGAGGAUUCAUCUCACUGAGAUAAACCAUUCUUUUGAUUCAGCUGGUUGGAAACACUCUUUUUGGACUAUCUGCAAAGGGAUAUUUGAGAGCCCAUUGAGGCAUAUGGGGAAAAUCUGUAUAUCCUAAUAUUAAAAGUAGAAAGAAGCUAUCUGUGAAACUGCUUUGUGAUGUGUGGAUUCAUCUUACAGAGUUAAACCUUUCUUUUAAUUCAGUAGGUUGGAAGCACUCUUUUUGGAGACAUUGUGAAGGAAUGUUUGGGAGCCCACUGAGGCCUAUGUAGAAAACCCAAAUAUCCCAAGAUAAAAACUAGAAAGCAGCUAUCUGUGAAACUGCUUUGUUAUGUGUGGAUUCAUCUCACAGAGUUAAUCCUUGCUUUUGAUUCAGAAGGUUGGAAACACUCUUUUUGGAGAAUCUGUGAAGGGACAUUUGGGAGCCCAUUGCAGCCUAUGGGGAAAAAAGGAAUAUCCCCAUUCAUAAACUAGAUAGAAGCUAUCUGUGAAACUGCUUUGUUAUGUGUGGAUUCAUAUCACAGAGUUAAACUGUUCUUUUGAUUCAGCAGGUUGGAAACACUCUUUGGAGAAUCUGCAAAGGGAUAUUUUGGAGCCCAUUGAGGCAUAUGAGGAAAACCUAAUAUCCUCAGAUAAAAACAGACAGAAACUAUCUCUGAAACUGCUUUGUGAAAUCUGGAUUCAUCUCACAGAGUUAAACCUUUGAUUCUACAGGUUGGGAACACUCAUUUUAGAGAAUCUACAAAGGGACAUAUUAAAGCCCAUUGAGGCCUGUGGGGAAAAGCCAAAUAUUCUCAUUCAUAAACUAGAAUGAAGCUAUCUGUCAAACUACUUUGUCAUUUGUGCAUUCAUCUCACAGAGUUAAAACUUUCUUUUGAUUCAGUAUGUUGGAAACACUCCUUUGGAGAAUCUACAAAGGGCAUUUGGGAGCCAGUUUGAAGCCUAUGCAUCAAACUGAGUAUCCUCAGAUCUAAAAUAGAAAGAAGUUAUCUGUGAAACUGCUUUGUGAUGUAUGGACUCAUCCCACAGUGUUAAACCUUUAUUUUGAUUCAGCUAGUUGGAAAACUCUUUUUGAAGAAUCUGUGAAGGGACAUUUGGAAGCCUAUUGAUGCCUAUUCAGACAAAUGGAAUAUCCUCUGAUGAAAACUAGAAAAAAGCUAUCUGUAAAACUGUUUUGUGAUGUUUGGAUUCAUCUCACAGAGGUAAACCUUUCUUUUGAUUCAUCAGGUUGGAAACAGUCUUUUUGGAGAAUCUGCAACUGGGCUUUUGGGAGCCCAUUGAAACCUAAGGGGAAAAACUGAAUAGUCCCAGAUAAAAACUAGGAAGAGGCUAUCUGUAAAACUGUUUUGUGAUGUGUGGAUUCAUCUCACAGAAUUAAACCUUUCUUUUGAUUCAUCAGGUUCGAAACACUUCUUUUGUAGAAUCUGCAAAGGGACAUUUGGGAGCCCAUUUUGGUCUAUGUAUAAAAACCAAAUAUCCCCAGAUAAAUACUAGAAAGAAGCUAUUUGUGUAACUGCUUUGUUAUGUCUGGAUUUUACUCACAGACUUUAAACAUUUUUUUUUUUAUUCAGCAGGAUGGAAACAGCCUUUUGGUAGCAUCAGUGAAGAGACAUUUGGGAGUACAUUGAGGCCUACAGUGACAAACUGAAUAACCCCAGAUAAAAGCUAGAAAUAAGCUAUCUGUGAAACUGCUUUGUGAUGUGUGGAUUCAUCUCACAAAGUUAAAUCUUUCUUUUGAUUCAGUAGGUUAUAAACACUCCUUUUGUAGGAUCUGUAAAGGGCCUUUUCUCAACCCUCUGAGGCCUAUUACGAAAACAGAAAAUUUCACAAUAAAAACUAAAAAAAAAAAAAAAAUCUGUCUGUGAAACUGCUUUGUAAUGUGUGGAUUAAUCUCACAAAGUUAAAUCUUUCUUUUGAUUCAGCAAAUUGGAAACACUGUUUUUGUUGCAUCUGUGAAAGUACAUUUCAAAGCCCACUAGGCAUAUAGUUAAAAACCAAAUAUAAAGAGAAAACUCUGGGAAUAAGCUAUCUUUGAAAUUGCUUUGUGAUCUCUGCAUUCAGCUCACAGUCUUAAACAUUUCUUUUCAUUCAGUGGGUUGGAAACAUUCUUUUUCUAAAAUCUGGGAAGGGAUAUUUUUGAGCCCACUGAAGCCUAUAGUGAAAACUGAAUAUCUUGUAAUAAAAACUAGAAAGAAGUUAUCUGUGAAACCACUUUGUGAUGUGUGGAUUCAGCUCACAGAGUUAAACAUUUCUUUAGUUUCAGCAGGUUGGAAACUCUCUUUUUGUAGAAUCUAAGAACCAACAUUGAAAAACCCACUGAGGCCUACAGUGAAAUCCAAAUAUCUUUCAAUAAAAACUAGAAAGAAACUAUCUGUGAAACUGAUUGGUGAUAUGUGGAUUCAGCUCACAGAGUUAAAUCUCUCUUUUGAUUCAUCAGGUUGGAAACACUCCUUUGUAGAAUAUGUGAAGGGACAUUUCAAAAUGCACUGAGGCCUGUAGUGUGAAACAGAAUAUCACACAAUAAAAACUAAGAAGAAUGUAUCAGUGAAACUGCUUUGUGAUGGAUGAAUUCAGCUCAGAGAGUUAAACCAUUCUUUUGAUUCAGCAGUUUGGAAACCCUUUUGGUAGAAUCUGCGAAGGGACAUUUCAAAGUGCACUGAGGCCUAUAAUGAGAAAGAGAAUAUCCUACUAUAAAAAUUAGAAAGAAAUAUCUGUGAAACUGUUUGUGAUGAAUGAAUUCAGCCCACAGGAUUAAACCUUUCUUUAGAAUCAGCAGGUUGGCGACACACUUUUUGUAGAUUCUGUGAGAGGAUAUUUUGGAGCAUACUGAGGCAAAUAGUGAAAAUGGAAUAUCCCACAAUAAAAACUACAAGGAAGCUAUCUGUGAAACUACUUUGUGAUUUGUGGAUGCAGCUCAUAAAUUAAUACUUUCUUUUGAUUCAGUAGGUUGGAAACACUUUUUUUGUAGAAUCUGCGAAGUGACAUUUUGGAACGUGUGGAGGCCUAUAGUGAAAACCUGAAUAUCCUGUGAUAAAAACUAGAGAGAAUUUAUCUGUGAAACUGCUUUGUGACGUGUAGAUUCAGUCCACAGAGUUAAACCUUUUUGUUUGUUUGUUUCAGCAGUUUGGAAACACUCCUUUUGUAUGUAGAAUCAGCAGAGGGACAUUUCAGAGCACAGUAAGUCUUAUCAUGAAAAACAGAAUAUCUCGAGAUAAAAACUAGAAUGAAGCUAUCUGUGAAACUGCUUUGUGAUGUCUGCAUUCAGCUCACAGAAUUAAACCUUUCCUUUUAUUCUUCAGUUUGGAAAAACUUUUUUUAUAGAAUCUGCAAAGAGACAUUUCAAAGCCCACUUGGCCUAUAGUGAAAAACCUAAUAUCCCACAAAAUGUUAUGUAUGAAACUGCUUUUUAAUGUCUACAUUCAGCUCACAGAGUUAAACAUUUCUUUUGAGUCAUCAAGUUGGAAACACCCUUGUUGUAUAAACUGUGAAGGUACAUUUCAAAGGGCCAUAAGGCCUAUAGUGAAAAACUGAAUAGGCUGUGAUAAAAUCUUGAAAGAUGCUAUUUGUGACUGCUUUGUGAUGCCUGCAUUCAGCCCACAGAGUUAAAUCUUUCCUUUUAUUCAUCAGUUUGGAAACUGUUUUUUGUAGAAUCUUUGAAGGGGCAUUUUGGAGCCCACCAGACCCUUUGUGAAAAUCCUAAUAUCCCCAGAUAAAAACUGGAAAUAAG
rnacentral:lncRNA from 10 species